rnacentral:rRNA from 1 species
GAUAGACGCUGGCUGCCCUGCCUCAUGCUUGCUUGUCAAGCCAACGGACUACAACCUUGCUUCUCUGAUGUUCGCGCCGGACGGGUGACUAACACCUGGAUUACCAACCUCUCUUACUGGCAUAACUUCGCGACACCGGAUCUAAUACCGUAUAAUAUUUUGAACCGCCUGGUUCUAAAGUGAAUGACGGCCUUGCUGUCUCUUCUCCAUGGAUCCGCGCUGCAUUAGCUAGCUCGUAAGGUAGCGGCUCUCCAUGGCGGCGAUGCAUGACCGACCUGAGAGGGUGAUCGGCCCCUCUGCCAACUGAGACACGGUCCAGACUCCUACGGGACGCGCCACUCUGGAAUCUUCCCCCCUGGGGGAACGCCUGACCGACCUACACCGCUUGAGUGAUGAAGGUCUUCGGAUGGUCUUACUCUGUUCUUCGGGAAGAACAUAUGUGUCCGUCACUGGGCCCGUCUCGCCUGUACCUCUUCGAAUAGCCACCGUUAACUCCUUGUCACCAGCCGCAGUGCUACGUGCGUGGCCUGCGUUAUCCAGAAUUAUUGGCCUCCCAGCGCGCAUAAGUCGUUUUUUACGUCUGAUGCGACCGCCCUCUGCUCUCCCGUGCACGGUCCUUGGAAACUGGCCUCCUUGAGUGCAGAAGAGGAAAGUGGAAUUCCAUGUGUGGCGGUGAAAUGCGCAGAGAUAUGGAAGAACACCGGUGGCGAAGGCGACUUUCUGGUCUGUUACUGACGCUGAUGUGCGAAAGCGUGGGGAUCAAACAGGAUUAGAUACCCUGGUAGUCCACGCCGUAAACGAUGAGUGCUAAGUGUUAGGGGGUUUCCGCCUCUUAGUGCUGCAGCUAACGCAUUAAGCACUCCGCCUGGGGAGUACGACCGCAAGGUUGAAACUCAAAGGAAUUGACGGGGACCCGCACAAGCGGUGGAGCAUGUGGUUUAAUUCGAAGCAACGCGAAGAACCUUACCAAAUCUUGACAUCCUUUGACAACUCUAGAGAUAGAGCAUUCCCCUUCGGGGGACAAAGUGACAGGUGGUGCAUGGGUGUCCUCCUCUCGUGUCGAGAUAUGUUGGGUUAACUCCCGCCACGAGCGCCCCCCGUAAUCUUAUGUGCCAUCAUUAAUUUGGGCUCUCUUGAUAGAGUGCCGGAGACACCCCGAAAGAGUGUGGAGAACACCUCGUCUCCUCGUGCCUCUUAAGAUGUGCGCUACACACGUGUUCCAAUGGACAAUACAAAUGGCAGGGAAAUCGCGAGGUCAAGCAAAUCCCAUAAAGUUGUUGUCAGUUUGGAUUGUAGUAGACAACUAGCAUUCAUGUAGUCGGAAUAGAUAGUAAUGGUAGAUAAGCAUGAUACGGUGAAUAAGUUUUCGUCUUG